GGUCACCAGGCUCUUCCACCUCCACAUCGAUCUGCAUGACCUCGUAGGAGGCGCCAUCCGCACUGGAGAGAAGACACAGAGGAGAACAGCUUUCAGGGACUGAUGAGAUGAGCUAUGGGUCCUACAAAACUGUCCAUAGGAAACUGGAAUGUCACACAGAGUAAGGGACAAUUCUUCAUGAUAUGAAACCACUGCACAUGCUGCAGGACACCUGUCAACCCAGGCCCUGCCUAUCUAUAAUGGCCAACAGGAAACCCCGGUGAUGAUGACAGCCAGAGACACACCCCACAACCUCCAAAGAGAUGAUCACAGCCAGAGACAUACCCCACAACCUCCAAAGAGAAGCUGAACUUGCUUCAUGUCUAAGAUCCGUAGUUUACCUUUUUAACAAGUCCUGACCUAAUGUGACUGGUGACCUUAAAAGAAGAGGAGAUUAAGAGACAGGUGCACACAGAGGAAAGAACAUAUGAAGGCAUCGGGAGAAGGCAGCAUCUACAAUCUUCAGAGAGAGGCCUCAGAAGGAUCCAAACCUGCCUGUACCUUGAUUUUGGCCUUCCAGCCUCCAGAACUGUGAGAAAAUAAACUCCUGUUGGUGAAGCA
rnacentral:lncRNA from 1 species